rnacentral:rRNA from 1 species
GACGAACGCUGGCGGCGUGCUUAACACAUGCAAGUCGAACGGAAAGGCCCUGCUUUUGUGGGGUGCUCGAGUGGCGAACGGGUGAGUAAAACGUGAGUAACCUGCCCUUGACUUUGGGAUAACUUCAGGAAACUGGGGCUAAAACCGGAUAGGAGCUCCUGCUGCAUGGUGGGGGUUGGAAAGUUUCGGCGGUUGGGGAUGGACUCGCGGCUUAUCAGCUUGUUGGUGGGGUAGUGGCUUACCAAGGCUUUGACGGGUAGCCGGCCUGAGAGGGUGACCGGCCACAUUGGGACUGAGAGACGGCGCAGACGCCUACGGGAGGCAGCAGUGGGGAAUAUUGCACAAUGGGCGGAAGCCUGAUACAGCAACGCCGCGUGCGGGAUGACGGCCUUCGGGUUGUAAACCGCUUUCGCCUGUGACGAAGCGUGAGUGACGGUAAUGGGUAAAGAAGCACCGGCUAACUACGUG